rnacentral:rRNA from 1 species
UGGAUCCAGACUUUGAUCAUGGCUCAGGAUGAACGCUAGCUACAGGCUUAACACAUGCAAGUCGAGGGGAAACGACAUCGAAAGCUUGCUUUUGAUGGGCGUCGACCGGCGCACGGGUGAGUAACGCGUAUCCAACCUGCCCAUCACUUGGGGAUAAUCUUGCGAAAGUAAGACUAAUACCCAAUGAUAUCUCUAGAAGACAUCUGAAAGAGAUUAAAGAUUUAUCGGUGAUGGAUGGGGAUGCGUCUGAUUAGCUUGUUGGCGGGGUAACGGCCCACCAAGGCGACGAUCAGUAGGGGUUCUGAGAGGAAGGUCCCCCACAUUGGAACUGAGACACGGUCCAAACUCCUACGGGAGGCAGCAGUGAGGAAUAUUGGUCAAUGGACGAGAGUCUGAACCAGCCAAGUAGCGUGCAGGAUGACGGCCCUAUGGGUUGUAAACUGCUUUUAUAAGGGAAUAAAGUGAGAGUCGUGACUCUUUUUGCAUGUACCUUAUGAAUAAGGACCGGCUAAUUCCGUGCCAGCAGCCGCGGUAAUACGGAAGGUCCGGGCGUUAUCCGGAUUUAUUGGGUUUAAAGGGAGCGUAGGCCGGAGAUUAAGCGUGUUGUGAAAUGUAGACGCUCAACGUCUGCACUGCAGCGCGAACUGGUUUCCUUGAGUACGCACAAAGUGGGCGGAAUUCGUGGUGUAGCGGUGAAAUGCUUAGAUAUCACGAAGAACUCCGAUUGCGAAGGCAGCUCACUGGAGCGCAACUGACGCUGAAGCUCGAAAGUGCGGGUAUCGAACAGGAUUAGAUACCCUGGUAGUCCGCACGGUAAACGGUGGAUGCCCGCUGUUGGUCUGGAUAGGUCAGCGGCCAAGCGAAAGCAUUAAGCAUCCCACCUGGGGAGUACGCCGGCAACGGUGCAACUCAAAGGAAUUGACGGA